rnacentral:rRNA from 1 species
CAGUCGCCGCGGUAAUACGUAGGUGGCAAGCGUUGUCCGGAAUUAUUGGGCGUAAAGGGCUCGCAGGCGGUUUCUUAAGUCUGAUGUGAAAGCCCCCGGCUCAACCGGGGAGGGUCAUUGGAAACUGGGAAACUUGAGUGCAGAAGAGGAGAGUGGAAUUCCACGUGUAGCGGUGAAAUGCGUAGAGAUGUGGAGGAACACUAGUGGCGAAGGCGACUCUCUGGUCUGUAACUGACGCUGAGGAGCGAAAGCGUGGGGAGCGAACAGGAUUAGAUACCCCUGUAGCCCUGUCUCUUAUACA